rnacentral:rRNA from 1 species
UGCAAUUGGAAUGAGUACAAUUUAAAUCCCUUAACGAGGAUCAAUUGGAGGGCAAGUCUGGUGCCAGCAGCCGCGGUAAUUCCAGCUCCAAUAGCGUAUAUUAAAGUUGUUGCAGUUAAAACGUCCGUAGUCAAACUUUAGUCUUACCGGCGCGGUGGCCUGGUCUUCAUUGACCAAGCUCGCUGUCGCUGGAGACUCCACGUCCGCUUUCUUCUAGUCUUCGGGCUAGGAUUUUGUGGACAAUUACCAUGAGCAAAUCAGAGUGUUUAAAGCAGGCUUUUAAGCUUGAAUGUGUUAGCAUGGAAUAAUGAAAUAUGACUUUAGUCCUAUUUUCGUUGGUUUAGGUACUAUAGUAAUGAUUAAUAGAAACGGUUGGGGGCAUUUGUAUUUGGCCGCUAGAGGUGAAAUUCUUGGAUUGGCCGAAGACAAACUACUGCGAAAGCAUUUGACCCAGGACGUUUUCAUUGAUCAAGGUCUAAAGUUAAGGGAUCGAAGACGAUUAGAUACCGUCGUAGUCUUAACCACAAACUAUGCCGACUAGAGAUUGGGCGUGUUUCUUAUGACUCGCUCAGCAUCUUAGCGAAAGU